ensembl:lncRNA
AGAGCGAGCAUGACACGUUCCUGCAGCCCCUGCUCUCUCUCCAUGCUGCAACAGAAGCGACUGGAUCUGUGCUGCAUGCUCAGCGCUGCAUCUCCAAGGCAAAGCAACAAGGCAUGCUUGCAACGAGCAACACUGUGGCUGCAGGAGAGCUGCUUGCACAGCAACUUUGGUUGCUCUCCUCCAGUUUCUCUGCCUUUGAAGGCAGUGCUUCUGCUCAUCCACAUUUGAGCUGUAAUCCAAAGCAGCAGCCAAAUGGGGCUGUGUGUCAGGAGAGUCCCCAUGCACAGCACGCAGCUCUGCGCAGCCUUCAGCUCCCAGAGCCAGAAGCGCUGCGGAUCACACACAACAUGCAGGAGUGCUGCCCUCUCACAUAGCAGGCAGAAGAAAGCAAAACCAGUAUUUGUGGGCACUGAGAGGGAGAUGGAAGCAGUACGGCCCAGCAUCCAUCCCUAUCUGCCUUCCUGGCACCUUCAGUUUUCCAGACAUUGACUCUACAGCGUCCAGCUUGAUUUCAGCUGUUGGGAUUAAAGUGAGUGCACUGGCAAUUCAGAACUGCGCAAGCCUGCUAAAUGGGCAGAACUGCAAUGUGCAGGGCUUCCUGUCCGUGCUAAGCAAGCACUGUCUGCAGACCAAAAUUAGCUCAGCAGGACCUGCCCUGCAGCUUCACCCAGAUCUACACAGGCUUUCGAAGCCAGACUCCCACAGUUGCCUAAGUGAAGUCUGACACUGAAUGCUGUAAAUUAGCUCUGAAUGAACAAUAGCUGUCAAGCUGCAGUGUGGGUGCAAACCCUAUUCUCCCUACUGAGAAGAGUAUCUGUGUAUUGCAAAGAGGCUGUGUAGCUCCUUUGAUGGUCCUGCCUGGCCACAGUGUGCUGCUAGCCUUGCCCACGUCGCCUCUUUGGGAUGUCUGAUGCUCACAGCAGUUUCUUUGGAGCACUGUUUCAGCAGAAAGCUGCAAUGUCAAACAGCUGCUCAUAGUGCUCUCCAUGUGAUGGAUCCAUAUGAUGACACACAGAGGACAGAGCUGAUGCACUGAAUGAAUACUGCUGGAAGGACACUACCCUUGCAGAGCUUCUGAUCUACUGUAAGUGAACACAAGGUGACAGAGAAACACUAGUCAUGGUCAGCCAGCUGAAGGACUGAUCAACUGGGCUCCCAUCCAUCCCUCACUGACUUCAGCUUUUAGGACACUGCAGCUAUUUCUUUCAAAUGUCUGCAUCCCUAUCCAACCACACACAACUCGCCUAUCGGAGACAUAAACAAGGGGAUGGGAUCCAAAUGCACGCAAUGCUUAUGGCCGUGAGGUGUGCAGCUUGGUUUGUGCAUUUCUAAAGAAAGCACAGGACAGGUCCAGCUGCUCAAAAAGUGCAUCCUAAUCCCCUAACAUAAAGAGCUCUGUGAUCCUCAGCGGCUCAACUGCAGCUCUGCCCGAAGAGGAAAUGGCAGCUAACUUCCAUCUCACAGUGCUUACAUGUGAGCGGUGCAGUGCUGGAGAAUGACUGAUCCUUGUGUGGUCAGAGUACAUGCACAUACCAGCAGCCUUGCUCCCAAAGGACAGCAGUAACUGCCUGUGCCACGCAGAGUCAAGAGACUGUUCAGC